rnacentral:rRNA from 1 species
CAGUUCGGACUGCAGGCUGCAACUCGCCUGCACGAAGCUGGAAUUGCUAGUAAUCGCGGAUCAGCAUGCCGCGGUGAAUACGUUCCCGGGCUUUGUACACACCGCCCGUCAAACCAUGAAAGUUGGGAACACCCGAAGUCCGUAGUCUAACCGCAAGGAGGACGCGGCCGAAGGUGGGUUCAAUGAUUGGGGUUAAGUCGUAACAAGGUACC